GAUGAACGCUAGCGACAGGCUUAACACAUGCAAGUCGAGGGAGCGGCGCGCGGGUGAAUAACACGUAUCACACCUUGCCUUUACUCGGGGAUAGCUUUUCGCAAGAGAGAAUAAUACCCGAUAUAAAGUAUCGGGAUGCGUUCCGUUAGGUUGUUGGUUAGGGAACGGCUCACCAAGCCUUCGAUGGCUAGGGGUUCUGAGAGGAAGGUCCCCCACAUUGGAACUGCGACACAGUCCAAACUCCUACGGGAGGGUGCAGUGAGGAAUAUUGGGCAAUGGGCGCUAGCCUGAACCAGCCAAGUAGCGUGAAGGAUGAAGGCUUAUGGGUCGUCAACUUCUGUUAUAUAAGAAGAUGUAUUAUAUGAAUAAGGAUCGGCUAACUCCGUGCCAGCAGCCGCGGUAAUAC
rnacentral:rRNA from 1 species